ACAAAAUGUAUGGGAGUUACAAAAUGCAUCUAGAACUGCAUCUUGGGCCUCUUCAGCAGGCGUUCUAGAUUUAUAAAUUCGAACAGUUUUGUUCCGAAAUUUUGUAACUGACAUACAGGUUCGUUCUAUUUUCGUUCAAAUUUGCAACGCGUUCCAAACGAGUUGCAUUUUUUCUGUGUCAGUGUGGUAGUGGCCCUCUUGAUGGUCUUACGUCAAACGUGAUUGUUUUGCCUUCCGGUGCGCGUGGCUGAUUUUUUUUUCGUUUGUGUGGUUGUCGCCGUACUAAUUACGUAAACAAAAACAAUCUUCUGGAUUAUGGGGAAUGUAAUCGUAUUCCUCCUCCAGCCGAGACAAAACGCGCGUUCCAACUUCCGCGGAGUGAAAUCUGAUCGGGUGCAGUGUUUGUGUCGUCGUUUGGUCGAUUGACUAGAAUAAAUUCGAACCGUCGGAGCUAUGGCCAGCUUUCAUCAAAGCCGUCGUGAACACCGUGGUGGAUGCGGAGGACGUAGCAGGAGACAAGACUAUUACCAUCGCCACAACGGCCACAACCAUUUGCAGCAUUGAAUGACUGCAGCUGCGGCAGCAGCGUAAUAGUAGCACCGUCGGAAGUGGAGUACGGGAGUAACCUAAAACAGUAGUUCUGGAAGCCACGUCAAACAUUGCAUUCGUUACCGUUGGAGUCGUCCGAACAGAUCACGGAUUCCGUUCCUGUGUUCCUGUGUCCUGUGCCUAUCCAGUUCUGUGUUGCUCCGAGUGUCACUCUAUUUUGUGAAUUGUGUUGGUAGAGUGAAUGUCCCAUUUUUCGACUGGAUCUGGUCAAGAUCAUUUUCCUGGAACUCGUGCCCUACUGAGAGCUGGAGGAGAAGUCGUGAAUUGCUCAGUAUCUGAACCAGUUUCUCCAGUACCUCCGUGCGGCCGACCAAUAGGACAAAAAGCCGCCAAACAUAAAUUGAGGAUGGAUGAGGUCGAACGGAGUAAAAUUACUGUUUUAGAAGAAAUGGCUCAGGCAACAUAGGAAAGGAACGAAAUAAUGCGACAAGCUAAUCGCAUCAAAAUAGUGACGACGAGCUUGAACGAUCUGGAUGAGAUUUCAACAAAAAUACUCAAACUGAAAAAGAAAAAAAUCCUAGACGAACUGCUAUGUGAAUCCGAAGUACGUGAUUCGGCGCCCGGGCCAUCAAAUCCGGUAUCCGAUGCAAUGAUUGAGCUGGCUACUACUACUGGUGAACAACCAUUAACAAGAGCCGCGCAUGUUAAGUUGGAGGUGAAAUCGAUGGGCGAAGACUGUGGAUCUUUUGAUCCGGAAUCACUCAUUGUAUCAGAUUAUGAUAGUGAUUAGUGGACGCAUUGUUAUGUUUGAUUUAUCUCAGUAAUAUCUCCAUUUAAGCAAUCUACCUUUUCUUUAUCCCAUUGAAUUAUUCUAGGUCUACAUCUUGCUAGUUUCCUUCAAUUUUAAUCAAUAUUCAAACUUGUAAAUUUAGAUCGAUCAAUAUGAUAAGGACCACAAUGUCGAUAGAAUAAUGUCAUGCAGCAGCGUUGUUCAAAUUUUUUAAAUGUUUUUUUAUAAACAUAGGCAUCAAAUGCUUUCGUGAUUGCUUUAAAUAAAAUACGUUCAGAAAUGGA